UUUCGUACGAUCACCGAAGUUAAGAAACUUCGAGCCUGAUCAGUAUCUACAUGAGUGACCGCUUGGGAAUACCAGGUGCUGUAAG